AGUGUAAGUAGUCGCCAUGUUUCUGUCGCUAUCACUUUCUUGGGGGUGUCACUGAUCACUGGCUAUUGCGACUACCAGACGCUCUGGACACUUGGAACGCUCCUGAGUUUGCGGCUGGGUCCACUUCCUGAAUGAUACUAGGAUCCCCGCCUCUGGUUUCUUUUGGCUGCCCCCGAGCUACCUCAGUCUUUUUCAAUGUCAGGCGGUCCAAGUUCCCUGUGGUGAAAAUGGAGCCCAGUGAGUCGUGCCCAUGGCAGCGCACCUGGUUUUGCAGCCUGGGCAGGUCACAGGUGCAUCUUCCACGGGGAUUUGAGCCAGCGUGCACCCCCAUAGCGCGACUGAGAUUCCAAGUCACACCCAGGUUUUGGCCUCGCAAAUCCGCCUCUGCUCCCAGCUGGCACCUGAGUAUGCAGGUCGCAGCCCGCGAUUUAGAAACACCGGCACCCGGGUGAACGCCCACGGCUCCUCAGCUUUCGCUGCACCGACGUCUGCACCACGCCCGUCAAGCUCAGCUGCAUCCUGACUCUGGGUUGGAAACUUCGUGGUGGAUGAUGCCUGUAACUACCCAGAUGAAAUCAAGACGCAACAGCCCUCAUCGAGGGAUGCUCAGAGUCAAGGAAACUUUUCUUUUGAGCUACUGACAGCUUAACUCCUGUGAACAAAAUUUGGAGCAUAUUUGUUUCUCUCUGCCUGAUUUCUCCAAAAUUUGGAAACUAUUUCUCUUUUUGCCUAACUCUUCCCAAGAAACCACUCCUUCUGCACACCUCCCUAAAUGGCGAAGCUUAACUUUUCCCAGAGCCCUCCCUGCCUUUCCUCACCUGCCAAGCCCAGUCCCCAGGACCUGCACCCACAGCCAGUCCCAAAAUCCACUCUGAGCUGUUAACAGCAACCAGAGAAGCUCAGAGACAUCAUCCUGUGCCCCGUGGUCAAGACCUAGUGACCUCAGAAUCAUUCUCGCUCUCCUUCUGCUUCUCAGCUGCCAUCUUCAUUUUUGAACUUUUGGGUUCAAACUCAGAAGGAGUCACAGAUCUUAGACUGUGGCUAUGCCAGCCAGCGCCCAGGUGCGGGGAGUGGACCUACAACCCCUUGGAGCAGUGCUGUGAUGACGGUGUCAUCCUAGACUUGAACCAGACCCGGCUCUGCGGCUCCAGCUGCACCUUCUGGCCCUGCUUCCAGCACUGCUGCCUGGAGUCUUUGGGCUCUCAGAACCAGACAGUUGUGAGGUUCAAGGUCCCAGGCAUGAAGCCAGAUUGCAAGUCCUCCCCUAUCACCAGGAUCUGUGCCCAGGAAUACCACCCAAAAAGCCCUGUGUCAAGAUCUGACCUCAUCUAGACUGUUCUGGGGUAGCAGAGUCACAGAUCACUCUAGAAUCUAAUACUUGGUAAUUAUACUGCAUUGAUUUUGUUGUUGUUGUGACAGAGUUUCACUCUGUCCCCCAGGCUGGAGUGCAAAUAAGCAACUUCAGCAAAGUCUCAGGAUACAAAAUCAAUGUACAAAAAUCACAAGCAUUCUUAUACACCAACAACAGACAAACAGAGAGCCAAAUCAUGAGUGAACUCCCAUUCACAAUUGCUUCACAGAGAAUAAAAUACCUAGGAAUCCAACUUACAAGGGAUGUGAAGGACCUCUUCAAGGAGAACUACAAACCACUGCUCAAGGAAAUAAAAGAGGAUACAAACAAAUGGAAGAACAUUCCAUGCUCAUGGGUAGGAAGAAUCAAUAUCGUGAAAAUGGCCAUACUGCCCAAGGUAAUUUACAGAUUCAAUGCCAUCCCCAUCAAGCUACCAAUGACUUUCUUCACAGAAUUGGAAAAAACUACUUUAAAGUUCAUAUGGAACCAAAAAAGAGCCCUCAUCGCCAAGUCAAUCCUAAGCCAAAAGAACAAAGCUGGAGGCAUCACACUACCUGACUUCAAACUAUACUAUAAGGCUACAGUAACCAAAACAGCAUGGUACUGGUACCAAAACAGAGAUAUAGAUCAAUGGAACAGAACAGAGCCCUCAGAAAUAACGCCGCAUAUCUACAACUAUCUGAUCUUUGAC